GCUUAACACAUGCAAGUCGAACGGUGAACCCGCUUCGGUGGGGGAUCAGUGGCGAACGGGUGAGUAACACGUGGGCAACCUGCCCUCAGCUCUGGGAUAACCAUGGGAAACUGUGGCUAAUACCGCAUGGGCUUGUUAGACUUGGCGUCUAACGAGUAAAGCUUUAGUGCUUCGAGAGGGGCCUGCGUCCGAUUAGGUAGUUGGUGAGGUAAUGGCUCACCAAGCCGAUGAUCGGUAGCUGGUCUGAGAGGACGAUCAGCCACACGGGAACUGAGAAACGGUCCCGACUCCUACGGGGGGCAGCAGUGAGGAAUAUUGGGCAAUGGACGCAAGUCUGACCCAGCAACGCCGCGUGGAGGAUGAAGGUUCUUGGAUCGUAAACUCCUUUUGCAGGGGAAAAGCAAGGAUGGUACCCUGAGAAUAAGUCACGGCUAACUACGUGCCAGCCGCCGCGGUAAUAC
rnacentral:rRNA from 1 species